CCUACGGGAGGCAGCAGUGGGGGAUAUUGCACAAUGGGGGGAACCCUGAUGCAGCGACGCCGCGUGGGUGAAGAAGCGCCUCGGCGCGUAAAGCCCUGUCAGCAGGGAAGAAAAUGACGGUACCUGACUAAGAAGCCCCGGCUAACUACGUGCCAGCAGCCGCGGUAAUAAGGAGGGGGCGAGCGUUAUCCGGAUUCACUGGGGGUAAAGGGAGCGUAGACGGCCAUGCAAGCCAGGGGUGAAAGCCCGGGGCCCAACCCCGGGACUGCCCUUGAAACUGCAUGGCUGGAGUGCGGGAGGGGCAGGCGGAAUUCCUGGUGUAGCGGUGAAAUGCGUAGAUAUCAGGAGGAACACCGAUGGCGAAGGCAGCCUACUAAGCUGCCACUGACAUUGAUGCUCGAAAGUGUGGGUAUCAAACAGGAUUAGAUACCCUAGUAGUC
rnacentral:rRNA from 1 species